AUUCAAUCAAUCAUGACUAUGUAAUCAUGUAAUCCUCCAUAAAAACCCGAAGGACAGGGUUCAGAGAGCUUCUGGGUUGGUGAACACAUGGACAUUCCGGGAGAGUGACACUCCUGGGAGAGGACGUUGAAGCUCUGCACUCUUUCCUCAUGCCUUGCCCUGCGCAUCUCUUCCAUCUGGCUGUCCCGGAGUUAUAUCAUUUAGUAAUAAACCAGUAAUCUCGUAAGUGAAAUGUUUCUCCAAGUUCUGCGAGCUACUCUAGCAAAUUAACUGAACCCAAGGAGGGAGUCCUGGGAACCUCCAGAUCUGGAGCCAGUCUGCCAGAAGCCCAGGUGACAACCUAGACUCCUGAUCUGUGUCUGAAGGAGGGAGGGGCGACCAGAGCCCUUAACCUGUGGGAUCUCCAGACGCGGCUGCCACCUGGAGAGCGCUCACGUUCAUUCGUUCCCCUACACGAGCGAGCGAGGAGCGAGGAGCGACGGAGACCCAGCGAGGCCCUGCCCGCGCUCAGGGUAGGUCACAGGAAUCAGCGGCCCCCACGUCCUGCCUCCAGGACUGCCGCUCACUCGAGAGGAAGAAGCACAGACACACAUCAUCAAAGUAGCAGGCAGCCCGGCCCGUGGGAAAUCCCCGGCCUGGGUAUUUCCCGGAGAGAUGAGACACGUGUCCACAGGAACCUCCGUGCGACUCUACAGCGACACUACUCAUCGUUGCCUGAAACCGGAAAGAGCCCGAACGUCCCUCAGCUGGUGAAUGGCAAGCAGACUGUGGUCCGGCCCGACCCUGGAAUACUACGUAGCAUUAAAAAAGAGGAGACUAGUGACACGUGCAACACCGAGGAUUUGUCCUUGAUAGGAUUUGAGUCAGGGAGGCCGGGCUCCAGGUUCCAUUUGUGUGACAUUCUGGAAAAGGCAAAAUUCCAAGGGAGGAAGUGAACCCAUCCAGACCGGUGGUGGCAAGAGGCUGGGGUGGGAGGCGGGCCUGACCACAGGGGUGAGUGAAAGAACCUUUGGGGGGUGGACGUGCUCUGCAUCCUCAUCGUGGUGGUGCUUGUGUGACCACAUGUAUUCGUCAGAACUCACGGAACCGUGCACUAAAAAGCAUAUUUUGCUCUGUGUAAAUUAUGCCUCAAUAAAACUGGGGA